rnacentral:piRNA from 1 species
UGCAGUAACAUGUAGACUGAACAGGAGGAA